rnacentral:rRNA from 1 species
GACGAACGCUGGCGGCGUGCCUAAUACAUGCAAGUUGAGCGCUGAAGGUUGGUACUUGUACCAACUGGAUGAGUAGCGAACGGGUGAGUAACGCGUGGGGAAUCUGCCUUUGAGCGGGGGACAACAUUUGGAAACGAAUGCUAAUACCGCAUAAAAACUUUAAACACAAGUUUUAAGUUUGAAAGAUGCAAUUACAUCACUCAAAGAUGAUCCCGCGUUGUAUUAGCUAGUUGGUGAGGUAAAGGCUCACCGAGGCGAUGAUACAUAGCCGACCUGAGAGGGUGAGCGGCCACAUUGGGACUGAGACACGGCCCAAACCCCUACGGGAGGCAGCAGUAGGGAAUCUUCGGCAAUGGACGAAAGUCUGACCGAGCAACGCCGCGUGAGUGAAGAAUGUUGUCGGAUCGUAAAACUCUGUUGGUAGAGAAGAACGUUGGUGAGAGUGGAAAGCUCAUCAAGUGACGGUAACUACCCAGAAGGGGACGGCUAACUACGUG